rnacentral:rRNA from 1 species
GACGAACGCUGGCGGCGUGCUUAACACAUGCAAGUCGAACGGAAAGGCCCUGCUUUUGUGGGGUGCUCGAGUGGCGAACGGGUGAGUAACACGUGAGUAACCUGCCCUUGACUUUGGGAUAACUUCAGGAAACUGGGGCUAAUACCGGAUAGGAGCUCCUGCUGCAUGGUGGGGGUUGGAAAGUUUCGGCGGUUGGGGAUGGACUCGCGGCUUAUCAGCUUGUUGGUGGGGUAGUGGCUUACCAAGGCUUUGACGGGUAGCCGGCCUGAGAGGGUGACCGGCCACAUUGGGACUGAGAUACGGCCCAGACUCCUACGGGAGGCAGCUGUGGGGAAUAUUGCACAAUGGGCGGAAGCCUGAUGCAGCAACGCCGCGUGCGGGAUGACGGCCUUCGGGUUGUAAACCGCUUUCGCCUGUGACGAAGCGUGAGUGACGGCAAUGGGUAAAGAAGCACCGGCUAACUACGUG